rnacentral:rRNA from 1 species
GACAUGGGGUGCAAACGUUGCUCGGAAUUAUUGGGCGUAAAGCGCGCGUAGGCGGUUACUCAAGUCGGAUGUGAAAGCCCUCGGCUUAACUGAGGAAGUGCACCCGAAACUGAGUAGCUAGAGUACUAAAGAGGGUCGCGGAAUUCCCGGUGUAGAGGUGAAAUUCGUAGAUAUCGGGAGGAACACCGGUGGCGAAGGCGGCGACCUGGGUAGAUACUGACGUUGAGGCGCGAAAGCGUGGGGAGCAAGCAGG